UGUGAAGGGUGUAGCCCGCCAGCCCUGGAAACAUAGGUGGAAGCAAUUCAUCUAUGAGACUGGAAGGGAUAGACCCUAGCUCCACCCAUCUCUGACCUCAGUUAAGGGCUGCUAGCUGGAAGGGAAGCAUCACUACUUGGAGGUUGCCUCCUUUGGAGUGUUUGGUGAGCCCUGAUCCUGGGAAAUGGAAGUCUCUAAGGAUGCUGCAGACCUAUCAGCUGUCAAAACAGCAUUCUCCAGCUUGUGCACAGCUUAAACAAACACACUUCCACCUGCCAAAUUCAAUUGCACAGAGGAACCACCAGCUGACCAGUAUGAAAAGAAAGGAGGAAGCAGAUGUGGAAAAACAGGUAGGUGGAAAUGAUACAUCCAGAAAGACAGUGCCACCCCAGCCCUGCACAAGAAGCCCACAUUGUGAGCAUAGAGAAACAGAAUUUGCUCUAUUGGUAGUGAGGAGUUGGCUUUAAGGCCACCUCUUGCUGCAACGUUUUUCUUCUGAGGCUCAGCUUCCACUUCCGUAUGGUUUCUAGACCUAAGAGUUACUAAUGAAAGAAAGCAAUGUGCAGAACAAUGCUGUCAGCUAUGCAAAACCCCCAAUGCUUCCACAGACGUUUAAUUGAACAGGUUCUUGGGUCCAGCUUAGCACAGGAUGCUGCUGCACGGGGAGAAGUGCUUGCCCCACCUCACUUCAGGAUGCUUAUCUGGAUGAUGGUGAGGGGAAGGCCGCUGACUGGGAUGAACCACUCUCCUGUCCAUUGAUUUGGAGUGUUUUGCAGCCUCUGGAAUGGUGCAUGGUGGAAGAGGAUUGAGGCCAUGUAGCCCAUUCUUCUGCACUGAGAUGAAAACAGCCACACUAAUCUUUUUUGAUGAUUCCCAGUGAAGGAGAUCCUACAAGCACCUUGGCAAGUGAUUCCAGUGUAUUCUUACCACUGUUAUUUGCUUGUUUUUCCUCAUAUCCAAAUAUUUUUCGCGGAAAUUUAAAUGCCCUACUUUUGCCCUGCCUUGCCCUACCCUGCCCUGCCCAUCAUGGGGAACAAAUUAUGUCCAUCCUCUGAAGGCUGAACAUCUUCUCUCUGAAUUCUUUGUAAUAUAGUCCAUGAGCUUCUUGGUGUGCAUUGCCCACAAUUGAAAAUACAUCAGUUGUGACCUUAUUGGUGUAGAGGGCAGCUCAGAAUGUAUUUUGGUUUAUACACUGCAGUGUGGUAUCUGCAUUUGCACAACAGCAUAGUCUCUUUUGCUUUGAUUCUGCCUGACUUCCUAGCACUGCUCCUGGGGGGGCAGCCCCGUACUGCCCUCUCUGUGCUUAUAUACCUUCUUUCAUGACAGUUAUGACAGAAGCAAACAUUAGUUUGAACCAGGACUUGCCUGUUGGUUUGUGUAGGUGGUUUGUUGCAGAUGACAGGGGAGGCAGAAUUUACAAUCUGGAUGAAAAGCAGUUUUCAAAUGGAGUCUGAGGCCCAGCUGCCUGUUAGCACGUGGUCUACCCAUUACAAGUCUGGACUGAGGAGAAGCAGUUGCUUCCUCCCUAUCUUCGUAUCUGCUCCUGCUUCUUGCUUCAGUCCAUGGUUCUUACUGAGACUUCAUCCUAUGUGCUGUCACCAGAGAAGCUCCAUGAAGCAGGCAAACUCAGCUUUCCCAAAGUGCUGCUGCCAGGAAAAGGAGACCUGUCCCAGUAGUGUGAAACUGCACUGGGAACUGCUGAAGUAGCGGCCUGUUGUUGGAAGGAGCUCUUUGGCACAAAUCCUUCUUUCUUCCCCAGGAUUCCUGUCACACUUUCAGUGCUGGUUCUGGUUCCAUUCCAGGGAGGAACUUCAGAACAGGCUGAACCGGUGCUACAGAAUGGUUUGGAAGAAAUUCUCUUGAGGAAAGGAGGCUAGUGUUUCCAUCUUCCAGGGAAUGGGAGGAGACAACAUAGGGAUGUUCAUCCAGAAGUCCUGGGGCACAAGAGAGGAAUAUUUAUUUUUCCCAACAGAUGUUGUGAGAGUGAGUAUUUUCCUGUGUAUACUGAGAACUCAAUAUUGCCCUCAGGAGCUACUAAAUCCAUGUGUGCUCCCAGAACAGAAAUGAGAGAGAAAAGACAGAGAACUGCCUUUUCUUUGUAGUUAGAUUUUAGCCAUUUGGAGCAAUUCUUUUUUCCUGCUAUGGGUUUUAGUUCUUUGGGAGGAUUCAUAUGUUAGCUGAAGGAGCUUUGCUAAAGCUGCUGAGGAUAUGAGGAAAUCUGGGCAAACUUACUGUAGGACUACACGCUGACAAUUAGGAAAUGUCCAUAUAGCUAUCAACAGGGUUUUUCAGGCCUAUCUCAUUCAUUGCUGUUCUGCAAAUGAGCAAGUGGAAACAGAUGUGAUAAAGAGAUAUUUGUGUAUUGUAUGUUGGCAUAUGGAGAACUAAACCUAGGAAGUUCUGCCAAAAUUAUUCUGAAGAAGUGUUUUAUUCACCUUGUUGAGAGUGCUUAUUUUUCCAUCUUGCUUCAUGUGAAUUCUAAGAUGAUAAUUUUAAGAUAUCAAUCUUAAAAUUUCUCUUUUUGGAAUGAGGGAGCAUAGAAAUAAGUGGGGAAAAAAAAAGAAAAGAAAAAAUAACUUAAUAAUGAUUAAAAGAUAUAUGAGGGUGACUGAUUUUCUUUUUUUUUUCAAAUUUUCCUGUAUCUUUUUUGUACUCGUACCAAACUUGGCCUCAGAUAAAUGAAAGCAAAUCUCAGACUUAUGAGAUGUUAUGCAAAAUGUGAUGAAAAGAUUAUCCUAACCUUGUGACUUGCUGAAGGUCAGGUUUUCUCUUCAUAUAAGUUUUCCUUCUUAGCCAAAUUCAGGACAAUUGUGGAUAGGAUUCUCAGUUGGUGGAAUUAAGCAUAUAAACUUAUCACAUACAAAUCAAUGGAGACUUAGAUAACUUCUUAGGAGAUGCAGCAAUAGUAUCUACCUCUUUCAGGGUUUCUUCCCCUCAAUUCUUUGGAAAUCCGCUCAAGGAUGUAACUAUUUGAAGGUGAAUGGAUCUGGUGGUGAACUCAGUGGGAUCACUGCCAUUCCAGGGCUAUGGGCUGACCCUACCCAUCUAUUGCUUUCUCUUCACUGGGACUACAGGGCAUUCAGCCCCAUGGCCAAAUAUGUGCAGUGUCCUUCCUUGCAGCACCUGCAGGCAAACUAAGACUACUGCCUCAUCCAAGCACUCUCUUUCUGAGUCUCAGCUGGGAAAUGUUGGCCAUACAGUGGGCAAUGAGUAAGUGCUCUUUAUUGUCCAUGGUUCAGAACUGUUUCCCUCUUUUACCCCCAUAUUUUGCUGGUCAGCACUAGGGGAUAGAGGUUUAUAGCCCUGAAGAAAGUGUAGCGAGGUAAGCACUGAUCAUUGCCACAUAGCAGAUGUUCCCCGGCUGACAACAAAAUUAUUCUGAGUUUGAUGGGAAAGGUAAGGCUUAUCUGACUGAUCUUUUGACCUAACUUUACAGUACAAUGUUUAUCAAACACCUUACUCUUAUGUAGUGUAUGUCCUGCAAGAAUAAUUUUAUUUAGGACAUAUUUUCCACCAAAUCAUGUAUAUUCAAGCACAAAAGGAGAGAAUUAGGAGUCUGUUUUUAAAAAUCUGGCAGUUUUCUGAAAUCGCACAGAUACUGCUUUUCAUAGCAAAAGCUGGAAAAUAUUUGAGGUAUGUAUUUGGGUUUGGCACGGUGAUCUUAAACAUCAGUUGCUCAGAAUAUUUUAUUUGUGGAAAAUCAGUGGGGAAGAAAGAGACCCCUCUCUCUAGACAUUUGAAACUGACAGGAAAUAAAUCAAUCAGCACGUGGAUUGUUGUGGCUUUCUCUUAAAAAUAACACAUUUUCCCUGUGCCGGAGACAAUAGUUUAGUGUGUUAAAUUAUGUGCUGCAAUCUGGAAGGCAAAACUUUCCAUAAAACUGUCAGUAGAUCAUAAGCCUGCUCACUGUAAUAGCACAUUUUUCUGCUUCUACAAUAUUCUUCUGGUACAACACGCACUACACACUGCCCGUAAGUGUUAUCUGUGAAUGAUGCUUUGGUUGUGCAUCCCCAUAUUACACUGUCCUUGAGAAACUUGUAGUCAUUGCACCUCUGACAGUGUGGAAGGUGGCUGUCACUAAAAGCAGUGUAAUUAAUUGAAGGCAGAUGAGCCUUGAUGUGAAGAUCUUUUAUUCCACUUUCCCAUUUGUGAGCACAAUGGUAGCAUGCAUCAUAAGUAAAAACAGUCAUUUUCAGGGCAUUGCUAGAGAGAUAUUUCUGAGGAUAAACACAGGAUUAAUUUUCCAUGAGAAAAAUGGAGGACCAAAUAAAAUGUGUUAAGGGAUGAAAUAUGUCCACCAUUUCCCUAGCAAAAUCAGUUAUUCUGCAACCUGCAUGUAUACACUUGAAAUAGAUAAAUAAGACACUUGUAAGAGAGAAUGUCAUCAGUAUAUUUUUUUUUUGUAAGACUUCACUGUUAUAAAAAAUACUGCAGAUACAGAAUACGGUGAGUGCUUUUCACCUUAAACUUUAAACUGGGAGUGAGUGCUGAAGUCAGAUUUUCACCUUAGCAAUCCUCACUUAAAUAUCUUAAGUCUUAUUCAAGGAAAGUCAAAUAUUACAUCUAAAGUGAAAUAAGCUCUAAACAGACUUUUGGCUUUGAAGUUUUUAGAGAUCUGUAAUAAUAAAAUGUACACUUUCAGCCUUCUGAGCCUAUUGACUCAGGAUGAGAGAGAAUUCUUAUCAUUGGUUUAAAAAUAACAGGCUGUUAGUUUGGUACUGCAGAUCUUUUCAGCUUAAGCUACUGAAUCACAAAGUGAUGGAGAGGUUGAAAAGAUGAGGAUUUUAUGGAUGUUCUCAUUCUCAAAAAUAUUACAAUUAAUAAAAAGUAUUUAGAAGUUGGGAGAAAAAAAUCUCUGAAUUAUAUAGGCUAUUUCUAGAGAAAAAUCUAUCAGUUACAAUAAAAUUGCUGUCUGAAGUGAACAUUCCAAAAGCAGAAGGCUAUUAUUUCAUAUAAAUGUGAAGCUUAAAAUAAUGUUUAGAAAGCUGCAUUUUUUUUUCUGCCUGCUCAUAAAUUAGAGUUCAGUUCCACUCCACUGAAGGACUAGCUGUGCUUUCAGAAGAAAAGCUUGGAGACUAAAAUAAUAAUGAAGAAAGAGUUGAAAUAUCUUGUUUAAAAUUUAAGUAAAUACCUGUAAGUAUAUCCAGAAGAGCAAAAUUUUGCAUAAAUGUUCUGAUUCUUUUGCAAUCUAUUUAAUUUAAAUAUAACAUGAUGCAGUUAAGAAAAAUGCAAUUCAGUCUCUCAGGUAAAUGUUAUUACUUACCUCCUAUGGAAAGAACUUUUUGAUAGGAUGUGAUCAUUAAACCACACUGGAAACAGAGACCUUAGCAACAUCAUAGAAUCAUUCAAGUUUGAAGGGACCUUUAAAGGUCAUUAAUACAACCUUCCUGCAAUGAACAGGGAUACCUACAGCUAGAUCAGGUUGCUCAGAACC